UACGAGAAGGUUCUUUCGGGAACUGGAGAGUGGCGCACGGGUGAGUAACGCGUGGGGACCUACCUCUUAGUGGGGGAUAACGGUUGGAAACGACCGCUAAUACCGCAUACGCCCUUCGGGGGAAAGAUUUAUCGCUAAGAGAUGGACCCGCGUUGGAUUAGAUAGUUGGUGNAGGUAANGGCUCACCAAGUCGGCGAUCCAUAGCUGGUUUGAGAGGAUGAUCAGCCACACUGGGACUGAGACACGGCCCAGACUCCUACGGGAGGCAGCAGUGGGGAAUAUUGGACAAUGGGGGCAACCCUGAUCCAGCCAUGCCGCGUGAGUGAAGAAGGCCUUCGGGUUGUAAAGCUCUUUCAGAUGCGAAGAUGAUGACGGUAACAUCAGAAGAAGCCCCGGCUAAUUUCGUGCCAGCAGCCGCGGUAAUACGAAAGGGGCAAGCGUUGUUCGGAUUUACUGGGCGUAAAGGGCACGCAGGCGGUCUUGCCAGUCAGGGGUGAAAGCCCGGGGCUCAACCCCGGAACUGCCUCUGAUACUGCAAGACUAGAGACUAGGAGAGGGUGGUGGAAUUCCCAGUGUNNAGGUGAAAUUCGUANAUAUUGGGAGGAACNCC
rnacentral:rRNA from 1 species